AUAGCCUAGCUAUUUUGCUUUGCAACAAUUUAAUCUUGCGAAAUACACGACCCGCUCGCGUAGAACAUUAACAAAAUUAACAAUGCUAAAUAAAACCAGACGGGAAUCAUUCAUGCGUCGCAAUCACAACUGAACUAAAAUAACCGAAAGCGAACUUGACGGUAAAUAACCCCGCACAAGGACGGAAAUACACAUCAGAUGAAGAUAUAAUGUAUAACAUACAACAGAACUGUAACUAAAACGACAAGUGUAAGCGAUCUUUAAACACACACAGAAAAGAGGCGGCCGUAUUUUCCGAUCAGCCGCCCACGAGUGAACCAUGCAUGCAUGCGUUAUACAACGAAAAAUAACUUCGCCACACCGAUCAUAUACUGCUAACAAAGCGAUAUAACUACCCAAAGGGCAAAAAUCUUAACUAGACCCGCAAAAAAAACACGCUACAAUACAGACAAAUACCAAUAUGAAUAAAAGAAUCACGUCCAAGUCCAAGUUUGAUGCCUGAAGCUGUUCAUUUUUAAUUGGAUCAUUCAC